rnacentral:rRNA from 1 species
UAAACGACUCUCGGCAACGGAUAUCUCGGCUCAUGCAUCGAUGAAGAACGUAGCGAAAUGCGAUACUUGGUGUGAAUUGCAGAAUCCCGUGAACCAUCGAGUCUUUGAACGCAAGUUGCGCCCGAAGCCAUUCGGCCGAGGGCACGUCUGCCUGGGCGUCACGC